rnacentral:rRNA from 1 species
UCUGAAUCUGCGNACGGCUCCGCAAACCAGUUGUAAACUAUAGCAAGCAUGCUCGGGAUUUGGCCCUCACGGGUUGGGUUUCGGGUGAUAAGGAUAACCCUGGUAAUUCUGAGGCUAAUACUAGAACGCAAAAACUUGACUGACCGGUUUUACUGGGAGGUUGGGGGGCGUGCAAGUGGGUUUCGCAUAGGAUAACCGGGAAGGGGUGCACGUUUGGACCGCGAUAAAGACAGACUGGUUUCGGCCGGCCUGAGCGGCACUUGCGUUGUGCUUCUGACCUAUCAACUAGAUGGCAGCGUAACGGACAUGCUAUGGUGCAACGGGUACA